UACGUAGGGUGCGAGCGUUGUCCGGAAUUAUUGGGCGUAAAGAGCUCGUAGGCGGUUUGUCGCGUCGACUGUGAAAACCUGGGGCUUAACUCUGGGCCUGCAGUCGAUACGGGCAGACUUGAGUUCGGUAGGGGAGACUGGAAUUUGACGGUGUAGCAGUGAAAUGCGUAGAUAUCGUAAGGAAGACCAGUGGCGAAGGCGAGUCUCUGGACAGCAACUGACGCUGAGGCACGAAGGCCAGGGGAGCAAACGGG
rnacentral:rRNA from 1 species